AGAUUGAACGCUGGCGGCAUGCCUAACACAUGCAAGUCGAACGGGAGUAGCAAUACUCUAGUGGCGGACGGGUGAGGAAUACGUAGGAAUUUGCCCUUAAGUGGGGGAUAACCCGGGGAAACCCGGAUUAAUACCGCAUGACCUCGAAAGAGCAAAGGUGGGGGAUCGCAAGACCUCACGUCUUUUGGAGAAGCCUUACGUCGGAUUAGCUAGGUCGGUGAGGUAAUGGCUCACCAAGGCGACGAUACCGUAACUGGUCUGAGAGGAUGAUCGAGUCACGACCGG
rnacentral:rRNA from 1 species